UACGAAGGGGGCUAGCGUUGUUCGGAAUUACUGGGCGUAAAGGGCGCGUAGGCGGUGUGUCAAGUCAGGCGUGAAAGCCCCGGGCUCAACCUGGGAACGGCGCUUGAGACUGGCACGCUCGAGUUCGGGAGAGGAUGGUGGAAUUCCCAGUGUAGAGGUGAAAUUCGUAGAUAUUGGGAAGAACACCGAUGGCGAAGGCAGCCAUCUGGACCGACACUGACGCUGAGGCGCGAAAGCGUGGGGAGCAAACAGG
rnacentral:rRNA from 1 species